rnacentral:tRNA from 1 species
GCCUGGCUGGCUCAGUCAGUAGAGCAUGUGACUCUUGAUCUCAGGGCUGAGUUCAAGCCCCAUGUUGGGCA